CCUAAUCAUGUGGACAUCUCUGAGAAUGAGGGGACUGGGUGACUUUGCAGUGUCUGCUUUCUAAGUUUCAAAGUGACUUUCCAGGCAAGCUGCGCAUAUCUUGGGAUCUUCACAGCACAGUGGCUGGGAAGGCAGGCGGACCCGUCUAUCAGCUUCUCCCUGAAUAACUGGGAGCUGAAACAGGAAGCCCCAUGACACAGUUGAUCGAAAAUGACACAGACACAGAAAAAUCAGGACGUGCCCCCAGCAGCACCCCUACCUGCUGCCUGCUGAUCACGGCUGGGAGGCCCGUCCAGGGUUCCCACCCGGGAACGGACUCUUAGCUACUCAGUGCUCACGGGUGCUGGGCCUGCAGAGCUUUUCGGAUGCUCUCUUACAGCUGGUGGGAUUCUUGCGGGGGCAGGGAUCGAGUCAAACCUUGGAAAUGACGUCAUUCUGAACUCAUCUGCCUUUAUCCAGAAGACUACCAAAGCAAACCAGAGGACCAGAGAACAGCAGCUGCUCUGGACAAAGAGGGGAGGACACCCACACCCACAUACCAAGUUCUGGUUGACUUCUACAGCAGAAGAAGCAGGAGACACAAGAAGGAUUCAUAGUUGUCCUGCCAAAAAGAAUCUCUGACUCCAAGGAUGUUUUCUCAAGGGAUUCCCGCCCGCACUGCCAGUUACCAUCAGCAGGACUCCUGACUGCCUGACUCCACUCCAUUUCUCAUGGAAGCCAGAAGGUAGUGCAGGCUGUCCCCACCCCCAGGGUGACAAAGCUGUGAUGAGGAGCCACCCCAGAAGAGGGAACUGGCACCUCAGCCUGAGAACUGGCCCUAUGGCUAACCGAGUAGAGGAAGCUUAAUUCUUUCUUUUUUAAUUUUGCAUUUUAUUUUAAAUUUUUAUUAUUAAAAUACAACAAACAUAUCAAUAA
rnacentral:lncRNA from 1 species